rnacentral:rRNA from 1 species
AGAGUUUGAUCAUGGCUCAGAACAAACGCUGGCGGCGUGCCUAAUACAUGCAAGUCGGACGAGGAAAGUCUUCGGAUGAGUACUAGUGGCGCACGGGUGAGGAAUAUAUGGGUAAUCUGCCCUCGAGUUUGGGAUAACCAGUCGAAAGAUUGGCUAAUACCGGAUAAGACCACAGGAUCUGCGGAUCUAGGGGUUAAAGGUUUUUCGCUUGAGGAUGAGCCCAUAUGGGAUUAGCUAGUUGGUAGGGUAACGGCCUACCAAGGCUACGAUCCCUAACUGGUCUUAGAGGAUGAUCAGUCACACUGGAACUGAGACACGGUCCAGACUCCUACGGGAGGCAGCAGUAGGGAAUAUUGCACAAUGGGGGAAACCCUGAUGCAGCGACGCCGCGUGAGUGAUGAAGGCCUUCGGGUCGUAAAGCUCUGUCGUAUGGGACUAACAAAAUGAAGGUACCAUGCAAGAAAGGAUCGGCUAACUUCGUGCCAGCAGCCGCGGUAAGACGAGGGAUCCUAGCGUUGUUCGGAAUUAUUGGGCGUAAAGCGGGUGUAGGUGGACUUAUAAGUCAGGUGUGAAAUCCCAGGGCUCAACCCUGGAAGUGCACUUGAUACUGCAAGUCUUGAGUGUGGUAGAGGCUAUUAGAAUUCUUGGUGUAGUGGUGAAAUACGUAGAUAUCAAGAGGAAUACCGGAGGCGAAGGCGGAUAGCUGGGCCAACACUGACACUGAGACCCGAAAGCGUGGGGAUCAAACAGGAUUAGAUACCCUAGUAGUCC